rnacentral:miRNA from 1 species
AUGUGAAUCACCUGGGGAUCUUGUUAAAAUGCAGAUUCUGAUUCAGCAGGUCUGGGGUGAGGCCCGCAUUUCCAGCAGCUCCCAAGUGCUAUUAAUG